rnacentral:rRNA from 1 species
GAUGAACGCUGGCGGCGUGCCUAAUACAUGCAAGUCGAACGCGCAGCGAAAGGUGCUUGCACCUUUCAAGCGAGUGGCGAACGGGUGAGUAACACGUGGAUAACCUGCCUCAAGGCUGGGGAUAACAUUUGGAAACAGAUGCUAAUACCGAAUAAAACUUAGUAUCGCAUGAUACAAAGUUAAAAGGCGCUACGGCGUCACCUAGAGAUGGAUCCGCGGUGCAUUAGUUAGUUGGUGGGGUAAAGGCUUACCAAGACGAUGAUGCAUAGCCGAGUUGAGAGACUGAUCGGCCACAUUGGGACUGAGACACGGCCCAAACUCCUACGGGAGGCUGCAGUAGGGAAUCUUCCACAAUGGGCGCAAGCCUGAUGGAGCAACGCCGCGUGUGUGAUGAAGGCUUUCGGGUCGUAAAGCACUGUUGUAUGGGAAGAAAUGCUAAAAUAGGGAAUGAUUUUAGUUUGACGGUACCAUACCAGAAAGGGACGGCUAAAUACGUGCCAGCAGCCGCGGUAAUAC